rnacentral:rRNA from 1 species
UACGUAGGGUGCAAGCGUUAAUCGGAAUUACUGGGCGUAAAGCGUGCGCAGGCGGUUGUGCAAGACCGAUGUGAAAUCCCCGGGCUUAACCUGGGAAUGGCAUUGGUGACUGCACGGCUAGAGUGGGUCAGAGGGGGGUAGAAUUCCACGUGUAGCAGUGAAAUGCGUAGAGAUGUGGAGGAAUACCGAUGGCGAAGGCAGCCCCCUGGGAUAACACUGACGCUCAUGCACGAAAGCGUGGGGAGCAAACAGG